rnacentral:misc_RNA from 1 species
GAGUCCAGUGAAAUCGACCAAUCAGCAGGCAACACAGGACACUUCCCGCAAGGCGUGGACUAGCAUGCUGGAAAUACCAAUCCCUGCUGCAACGGCGGAGAAGUCCCCAGAGAAAAAGCAACUGCCAAAGUCAACUUUAGAUGAAAGAAUUAAAGAUUUUAAUGUCAGUGUUUCAAAAUCAAAAGUAGAGAUUGGAAAACGAAGGUCAAGUUCACGAAGUUCCUCCUCUAGCAGGUCAAGGUCACCCAAAGCUUCCAAGGCCAGACAAACACCAGCUGAAAAAAGACCUGUAUCAAAAUCUCCUAAAAGAUCUUCACAUCGAAACGCUUCACGAUCGCCAGAGUCUAGCAGAAAGAAAUCAAGGAGUCCACAACGAGGGCCUCUCUCAAGGAGUCCUCAGAAGACAACAUCAAAAAGGAGAUCACCUUCACCAAGGUCUAAAUCACCCAGAAGAAGAUCAAGGUCAUCUAAAGGAAGGUCAAUUUCACCAAAGUCAUCACGAAGAAGGUCUAUAUCAAGGAGGUCACGGUCACCAAGGAAAAGAUCCAUUACACCAAGAAGGUCAAGAUCACCUCGAGGUCGUAGAAGAUCGAUUUCUCCACGGAGACGUGCCCCGUCCAACCGGUACAGGUCACCAAUCAGGAGGCGAUUUUCUCCCCGCCGCAGAAGUAGGUCGAGGAGUCGAUCUAGAAGACGCUCUCCAUUAAGAUCAAGACGGAGAUCAAGUUCACGCAGAAGCCGUAGUCGUAGAAGAGGCCGAAGUUCUAGCUCCAGAAGCCGCAGUAGAAGCAGAAAGCGUAGCAGAAGCACUAGUAGAUCCAGGAAGCGGAGUAGAAGCACUAGUAGAUCCAGGAAGCGGAGUAGGAGCACCAGCAGAAGGCGUAGUAGAAGCAUAAGUAAAGGGAGAAGACGUAGCCGGAGCAGACGUAGUAACAGUCCGCGAGGCAGACGGAGAAGUCGUAGUCGUUCUUAGUUUUAUUAGAGGUGACUCGUUUGUAAAUGCGUUGUGUGUCAACGUAGGAAAUAAAUUAGUUAUAGUUUGAUUACCUUUAAACCUGACUGUUCAGGUUAAAGGACAUUCAGGUGAUCACCAGUUGUUGGUAUAAAAUUGGACAAUCUAAAGUGGCAGUUGUUCAUUUUCAGAUUUUCAUUAAUUUUUGUUUGAAUUGAAUAGACUCAGUUUUGACAUGGUAUCGAAUCAUGUGUUCAUUUACAGUACCUGCACAUGUACAUAAACCAAUUUUUUGUGUGUGUGUGUGCUUUUAUAUCACGCUGUUUUCUGUACGACAGAUUGUGUAUUGUGGUCACAUUGUGUUAACAUUUUUAAAUAAAAUUGUCCAAUAGAUUGUCAACAGAUUUGCUAAUAAUGCCAAGUAAGAUAAAUCGAUGAUGAACAGAAUAUACAUUAACUGCCUAAUCAUGGAUGGAUUUAAUUCCUCAUGUCUGUGUGUGUCUCUUGAAACAAACAAUUGUUUUAUAGAUAAAUGUCUGAUGAACAAGUC